rnacentral:lncRNA from 1 species
AUAAUCAUAUCAAUUCCAGCCCAGUGUCUUCUGUCCUCAUUUAAAUACAAAUUUUUCUUCUAUUGCCAAGCUAUCAAAUAUGUUUCAUUCACUGAGUCUUUGUAAUAAAAGGUGAAACAGCACAGUCUGCACUCAACAGCCAGAUUUUUUUUUAAAGGUUGUAACAUUCAAAUGAUUUGCAGGCAUUUUUCUAACACAUUCUUUAUUUUUGAAAACCAAACAUCUAUGACACCACAUAUGUAUAUCUGCUGAUUGUAGUUAGCAGUCUCAUUCAACACUUAUUAAAAAACAUGAAAUUGUCAAUCCUAUCAAGUUGUUUUUUGGUUGUUUUCAAACCAGAAAGUCUAGUAAAAUUCAAUAUUGUAAAUUGAAUUUCUUUAUUUUUAACAAAAUAUAAUAAAUGGUAGACAAAUCCAUUCUUACAGUUCUAUUUACAAUCCUCUUUCAGUUUUAUCUAUAUAUUUUAAUUAAAAUAUAAUUCAGAUCUGUUUUCUCCCCUACCUCUUUCAUCUGUAGGCUGUGGGAAGGGGUCAUUCUUGGUUUCUUUUCCUUUCCAGCGGUCUUCACCUUACUUACCCCCUCUCCUAUUGGAUAACUGCUUCUACUGACCACUCUAGGACUGAAGUCUGGAAAUAGGAGUGGUAAUGAAGAGAGAAAUUUCUUUCUUAACUGAUAGUAAGUGAUCAUUUAAUCUACAACUGUCAAUUCCCAUGAAACUUUUCACUUUCUAGAAUAAGCUUGUCCAAUCCACAGCCCAAACGCCACACACAGUCCAGGACAGCUUUGAAUGAGGCCCAAUAGAAAUUGGUAAACUUUUAAAAAACAUUAUGGGAUUUUUUUUGGUGAUUUUUUUUUUCUUUAGCUUGUCAGCUAUCGUUAGUGUUAGUGCAUUUUAUAUGUGGCCCAAGACAAUUCUUCUUCUUGCAGUGUGGCCCAGAGAAGCUAAACGAUUGAACACCCCUGUUCUAGAAGUUCAUUCCAUGAAAUGGAAUCUCACCCAAGUGUUCUUAAAGAACACUUGGCUUCAAGCUAUCUGCCAUCUUUCGUUGCUCAUGUGGAUCAUUUCCGAUCUGGGUUAAAAGGUAAUGCAUUCGUGGGCCCUGAAAUCCAGAAAGUGAAACCCCAGGUCAGCUACUUAAUUUGCAGGAUCCCUUUUACAAACAAAAGAAAAUAUAAUAGAAUUUUUCUUCCUAUGGUUUCUUUCUUGACCUGUCAUGAUGUUUUUUCUUUGCUCUUAAUUUCACUCUGCCUUGGAAACAGGGAUGCUCACAGAGCGCUCAAAAUUACUCAGGAUAUGACCCUGAGUCUCCUUGUAUUUGGCCUCAGACCCCUGCUGGGUAAGAGGUGGUGUAGUGGUCUCUAGGUAUCAGUGGGGGAGCAAGAUGGCAAAAGGUGAGAUCACAUGUGAGCUGAGGCCCCAUGCUCCUGGCUCAUGCUCCAUUGUCCCAUCAGAGUUCACUUACAAAACACAAAUUCAAAGAUAAAAUUAUUAAGGAUUUCAAGACAGUAACAGUAAAGUUUUG